GCUGAAAGGUUUUUCACCCGAUGCGCUCGUGGUUUUUAAGAUUGACUAAGCAGCUAAGCAGGGUUGAGCCUGGUCAGUACUUGGAUGGGAGACCUCCUGGGAAAACUAGGUUGCUGUUGGAA
rnacentral:rRNA from 1 species